ACGCUCGACACCUACAGGAGGCAGCAGUGGGGAAUAUUGCACAAUGGGGGAAACCCUGAUGCAGCGACGCCGCGUGAGCGAAGAAGUAUUUCGGUAUGUAAAGCUCUAUCAGCAGGGAAGAAACUGACGGUACCUGACUAAGAAGCACCGGCUAAAUACGUGCCANCAGCCGCGGUAAUCUGAGGCGGGCUGGCAAGGC
rnacentral:rRNA from 1 species